AUUGAACGCUGGCGGCAGGCUUAACACAUGCAAGUCGAGCGAGCGGCGGACGGGUGAGUAAUGUCUGAGAAACUGCCUGAUGGAGGGGGAUAACUACUGGAAACGGUAGAUAAUACCGCAUACUAUCAGAUGAAACCAUAUGGGAUUAGCUAGUAGGUGAGGUAAUGGCUCACGUAGGAGACGAGCCCUAGCUGGUCUGAGAGGAGGACCAGCCACACUGGAACUGAUACACGUUCCAGACUCCUAUGGGAGGCAGCAGUGGGGAAUAUUGCACAAGGGGCGCAAGCCGGAUGCAGCCAUGCCGCGUGUAUGAAGAAGGCCUUCGGGUUGUAAAGUACUUUCAGCGGGGAGGCGUUACCCGCAGAAGAAGCACCGGCUAACUCCGUGCCAGCAGCCGCGGUAAUUC
rnacentral:rRNA from 1 species